rnacentral:rRNA from 1 species
AGCAGCCGCGGUAAUUCCAGCUCCAAUAGCGUAUAUUAAAGUUGUUGCAGUUAAAAAGCUCGUAGUUGAAUUUCGGGGUUAGUAGGUUGGUCAUGCCUCUGGUAUGUACUGGUCUCACUGAUUCCUCCUUCCUUAUGAACCGUAAUGCCAUUAAUUUGGUGUUGCGGGAAAUUUGGACUGUUACUUUGAAAAAAUUAGAGUGUUUAAAGCAAGCUAACGCUUGAAUACAUUAGCAUGGAAUAAUGAAAUAGGACGUUCGAUCUUAUUUUGUUGGUUUCUAGGAUUGACGUAAUGAUUAAUAGGGAUAGUUGGGGGCAUUAGUAUUCAAUUGUCAGAGGUGAAAUUCUUGGAUUUAUUGAAGACUAACUACUGCGAAAGCAUUUGCCAAGGAUGUUUUCAUUAAUCAAGAGCGAAAGUUAGGGGAUCGAAGACGAUCAGAUACCGUCGUAGUCUUAACCAUAAACUAUGCCGACUAGGGAUCGGAUGAUGUUAAUUUUUUAAUGACUCA